rnacentral:lncRNA from 1 species
GCAUGACAAAUAAACAUAAUCACCUUAUAAACAUUAUACAUGACAUGAAUAGCUAGACUUACAAGCCAUAAUCAAUAUGAGCCACAUCCCAUGGCCAUAUACAUAUAACUCAAUAUAAGCCAACACAUUUGGCCAAAGCAAAAUAAUACAUGUCAACAACCUAGAUCCUUAUAUAUGCCACUCACUUGAAAUUUCUAAUAUAUGCUUCAUUAUUCCAAAGAUAGCGACUUGAUAGUGUGAUGCUGCCUCCGAUGAUCUCUAACCUCGAGCUAACCUGACAAGCUAAGAGAAAUAGAAAAGAGGCAGUAAGCUUCACGCUUAGUAAAUCCAUAUGAAAAUAAUAAUUAAUUUAUCAAUAUGCUUUCAAUUUAUCAAUAUGCUUUCACCAAUUCUUACAACAUCAUCUCAAGGAAAUAUUGUCAUUAUUGCCUUUUUACCUAUGUUCAGGUCAAGCUGUUUUCUCGAGUCACAGUCACUAAAUUAUUUAUAUCUAGAGUUACAGAACUCCAAAUUAAUAUCCAUUAAUUUUUACUGAAACUAGACUCACAUAUAUUCUUACCAUAAAAUUUUCUGAAUUUUUGGUUCAGCCAAUUAGUACAGUUUAUUUUGUAAAGUCACCCCUGAUUUGCUGCCCAACAGCUUCAACUAGUUUUUACUAAAAAUUAAUUAUCUCCUCAUAUGGAACUUGAAUGAUGUUCAUAUUUAUUUAUCCUAAAAAUAGACUUAUUAAGGAAUCUAGACAUAUAAAUUAUAACCAUAAUUAUUUUUUUACAAUUUUUGAUGAUUUUCCCAAAUCAGAAUAGGGGAUUUUGAAAUCGUUCUGACUAUGUCUCGUACAAUUUCAAAUAUCUCAUAAUAUGAAAUUCUUUUGCUUACACCGUUUCUUCUAUGUACAACUAGACUCAAUAAUCUUAAAUUUCAUAUAUUAUCCAGUCUCUAAUUCACUUUCUACUAUUUUUGGUGUAUUUUCAAAGUCAGACUACUACUUCUUUCCGAAACUAUUUUAUUACUAUAUUUCACUCUUUCAUGAUUAUUUUUAAAUGGGAAUUUAUACUAAUCCAUUUCUCCUUUCAUGUUCAUUAGGCCACCAAGUAAAGGAAUAUACAUUUCAUGUCUUAAUUUAAUGUAGCCUCAAAGUCUCACACAUAAUCAUUAAUCACAUUUCAACCAUCAUGGUUAGAAUACAUAUAUGUACAUCAUAAACAUAAAACCAUAAUCACAAGGUCACCACAAUUUCAUUUUCAUAGGCAUAACUUACUUAUUUGUAUCCUUACCAAAGGUGCAUUGUUUCAUUUUCGCAAUAGCAUUUAAGCUUCGAAUACAUACUUGCACCUUUUCAGCAUGCUCAAAUAUUUACCUUUUCGCUUUCAUCGCAAGCUUUGAACUAUCCGUUGAACCACUUGGAAUACCAGAGGAUAAUCGGGAAAUCUUACACAUAUCGAUGCCAAUGCCAUAUCCCAGAUAUGGUCUUACACUGGCUCUUACAUAUCCAUGCCGAUGCAUGUCCCAAACAUGUCUUACACUAGCACAUCUCGUAGCCGAUGCAUGUCCCGAACAUGUCUUACACUGGCUUACAUCUCGAGGCCGAUGCAUGUCCCAGACAUGUCUUACACCGGCACUCAUCUCAAUGCCGAUGCCAUGUCCCAGACAUGGUCUUCCACUGGCUUUCAUAAUAUGGCCGAUGCAUGUGGCAGACAUGUCUUGCACUGGCUCACAUAACAGCAGUGUCUCGAUGCCCGUAUCCUAGGUAUUUUCAAAGGUCCAACCGGGAUUUCUCAAGGGUCACAUCAUAGCCAAGCUCGUUCAAAGAAUUGAUCAUACAAUUCACAAGGUUCGUCACUAUAAGAACUUUCAGUUCAUUUCUUCAUUUUAUAAUUUGCUCAUCUCAGCAAGAUAUCAUAUUUCAUAAAUUUCCAAUAUUUCAUAAAUACACAAAGUGAAAUCGACAUAUUAAGCUUUCGAUUAUUUCAUAGGGUAUAAUAUUUUCUCAUACACCCUAGCACUAACACAUAAUUCAAUACAAUAAUAACAAGGAGAUUUUCAAGUAUAACAAUAAUAACAUUAAUAGCAUGCUUAUUAAAUCACAUGGACUUACCUCGAAUGCAAUUUCGGCUAAUUACGCCAUUUUAGUCCAUAACCUUGUUCUUUCCGAUUUAAGCCCAAAUCUUGAUUUUCUUGAUCUAUCAUGAUGAAAUUCACUCAUUUUAUCAUUACAUUAAUUAAAAAAUUAUUUAAUUCACAAUUUGGAAAAAUGACCGUUUUGCCUUUAGACUUUACAAAAAUUACGAUUUUGUUCUUAGGCUCAUAAAUCAAUUUUUAUCGAAUUUCAUCCUUUACCAAGCCUAGCCAAAUUCUUUUCAUAGUUAUAGCAACUCAAAAUUUCAAUUAUUACACACAUUUACAUCCUAUUUUACAAACAUUACAAAAUGGUCUAAUUUAGGUGUUUUUCAUGAAUAGCCUUUCACAAAAGUUAUUUAUUUAACAACUAAGAUUCAUUUUCUUCCAUAAAAAUUCAGCAAAUAACAUAAAUAUUCACAUGAAAAAACCUUAGACUUUCAACCAUUUUGCAAAAUAAUCUCCCCAUUAGAUAGCUCAUGCUACAAGGAUUCCAAAAAAUACACAAAUUAUCAAGAAUGACUAAGAAAAUCACUUACUUGCAAAGGGUUUAAGUUGCUGAAAAUUUGAGCUUCAAAACCCCAUUUUCUCUUGUGUUUUUCGGUGGAGAAAAGAUG